rnacentral:rRNA from 1 species
AACGAACGCUGGCGGCAGGCCUAACACAUGCAAGUCGAGCGAGCAUUUCGGUGCUAGCGGCGGACGGGUGCGUAACGCGUGGGAACGUGCCCUUUUCUUCGGAAUAGUCCUGGGAAACGGGGGGUAAUACCGCAUACGGCCUUUGGGGGAAAGAUUUAUCGGAGAAGGAUCGGCCCGCGUUGGAUUAGGUAGUUGGUAGGGUAAAGGCCUACCAAGGCGACGAUCCAUAGCUGGUCUGAGAGGAUGAUCGGCCACACUGGGACUGAGACACGGCCCAGACUCCUACGGGAAGCAGCAGUGGGGAAUCUUAGACAAUGGGGGCAACCCUGAUCCAGCCAUGCCGCGUGAGUGAUGAAGGCCUUAGGGUUGUAAAGCUCUUUCAGCUGGGAAGAUAAUGACGGUACCAGCAGAAGAAGCUCCGGCUAACUCCGUG